GGAGCAUGUGGUUAAUUCGAAGCAACGCGAAGAACCUUACCAGGUCUUGACAUCCCGAUGCUAUUUCUAGAGAUAGAAAGUUACUUCGGUACAUCGGUGACAGGUGGUGCAUGGUUGUCGUCAGCUCGUGUCGUGAGAUGUUGGGUUAAGUCCCGCAACGAGCGCAACCCCUAUUGUUAGUUGCCAUCAUUCAGUUGGGCACGUCUAGCGAGACUGCCGGUAAUAAACCGGAGGAAGGUGGGGAUGACGUCAAAUCAUCAUGCCCCUUAUGACCUGGGCUACACACGUGCUACAAUGGUUGGUACAACGAGUUGCGAGUCGGUGACGGCGAGCUAAUCUCUUAAAGCCAAUCUCAGUUCGGAUUGUAGGCUGCAACUCGCCUACAUGAAGUCGGAAUCGCUAGUAAUCGCGGAUCAGCACGCCGCGGUGAAUACGUUCCCGGGCCUU
rnacentral:rRNA from 1 species